rnacentral:rRNA from 1 species
AUUGAACGCUGGCGGCAUGCCUUACACAUGCAAGUCGAACGGUAACAGGUCUUCGGAUGCUGACGAGUGGCGAACGGGUGAGUAAUACAUCGGAACGUGCCUAGUAGUGGGGGAUAACUACUCGAAAGAGUGGCUAAUACCGCAUGAGAUCUACGGAUGAAAGCAGGGGAUCGCAAGACCUUGUGCUACUAGAGCGGCCGAUGGCAGAUUAGGUAGUUGGUGGGAUAAAAGCUUACCAAGCCGACGAUCUGUAGCUGGUCUGAGAGGACGGUCAGCCACACUGGGACUGAGACACGGCCCAGACUCCGACGGGAGGCAGCAGUGGGGAAUUUUGGACAAUGGGCGCAAGCCUGAUCCAGCAAUGCCGCGUGCAGGAUGAAGGCCUUCGGGUUGUAAACUGCUUUUGUACGGAACGGAAAGCCCUGGGUUAAUACCCUGGGGUCAUGACGGUACCGUAAGAAUAAGCACCGGCUAACUACGUGCCAGCCGCCGCCGUAAUAC